UAAAAAAAUGUUUUUGUUUCUUAGAGAAGGGGUCUUACUUAUUUCCCAGGCUGAUCUUGAACUCCUGGGCUCAAGUGAUCUGCCAUCCUAGGCUUCCCAAAGUGGGAUUACAGGCAUGAGUCACCAUGCCCAGGCAGGUGAGGUUUUUUUUUUUUUCUCCUCCUUCCUUUCUCUUCCUCUCUACAUUCAUUCAAGCACCAAUUCCACGUAUUUUCUCUGCCAGGCACUGGGAAUAGAUACAAGAUGAACAAGAUCCAGCCUCUGUCCUGAGGAAAAUCUGUACCUAGCAGGGCAGACUGACAGACUCACAAAUAUGACUGUGGCCCUGGGGGCUGCUGACAGGACAAGGGCACCGAAACGCAGGAUAAUUGUGUUCAGAGCAGCACAGUGGCCCCCAGAGCUCCACGCUCCACAUCUUUCCUUCCCUCCCUUUCCUUCCCUUUUUUUUCUUUUCUUUUUUGAGAUGGAGUCUCACUCUGUUGCCCAGGCUGGAGUGCAGUGGCGCGAUCUCGGCUCACUGCAAGCUCCAUCUCCCGGGUUCACGCCAUUCUCCUGUCUCAGCCUCCUAAGUAGCUGGGACUACAGGAGCCCGCCACCACGCCUGGCGAAUUUUUUGUAUUUUUAGUAGAGACGGGGUUUCACCGUGUUAGCCAGGAUGGUCUCGAUCUCCUGACCUCGUGAUCUGCCCGCCUCGGCCUCCCAAAGUGCUGGGAUUACAGGUGUGAGCCACCAUGCCUGGCCCCCCUCUAUUCUUUCUUUGUCUCUUCUCUAUCUCUGGCCUGCCCCUGGCUGUCUGCAUCCAUGUGUGUCAAAGAUAUAGUAACUGGUAGGUACAGUAUGACAUUCUUAUCGAAAAAUUAGAAGGUAUAGAAAAACAUGGAGAAAAUUUGAACAAUCCCCUUUUCUACCUCCCGGUGCCAUAACCACUGUUAACAUUUUGAUGCAUGUCUUUUCAGGCUUUUUCUUAUGAUAGUAAAUAUUCUUAACAAUUUGUCUCUCCCUGAGGUUCAUGUCAUCUUUCUUGUUUUCCACCUUGUUUUGGUAGAGUACAUCUUUCUUGAGUUGCUUUUGAAAAAGGGCUAAGUUUCUUGAAAGUCUGAGUGUUUGAAAAUUUUUGUAUGAACAUUUUUGCAAAUGUUUGCAUGUCUUUAUUGAGCCUCCAUAUCUGACAGUUUGACUGGAAAUAUAAUUUCAGAUUGUAAAUAACAUUCCCUCACAUGUUGGAAGACACAGUUCCAUGACCUAUUUGCGUCUAGGGCUGCUGUUGAGAAGUCUGCUCUAUCCUAAAGCGUGUCUUUUUCUUCCUGGCUUGUGGAAUCUUCACUUUAUACCUGACAUUCUGAAAUCUCAAAAUGUUGUGUAUUUGUGAGGGUCUCUUCUUCAUUAAUUGUGCUAGGCACCUAAUGGACCCUCGCCAUCUGCAAAGUAAUCAUCUUCAUUGACGGAAACAACAUAUUUUAAGUUUCCAAUAACUUGUUCUCUGCAUCUUCCUUAAAAAAUAAAAAUCACCCAAAUGUCUACCAACUGAUAGAUGGAUAAAAAAAUAUGGUAUAUCUGACGGGCGUGGUGGCUCACGUCUGUAAUCCCAGUACUUUGAGAGGCUGAGGCGGGUGGACAAUCUGAGAUCAGGAGUUUGAGACCAGCCUGGCCAACAUGGCAAAACCCCCGUCUCUACUAAAAAUACAAAAAUUAGCCGGGUGUGGUGGUGCAGUUCUGUAAUCCCAUCUACUUGGGAGGCUGAGGCAGGAGAAUCGCUUGAACCCGGGAGGCGGAGGUUGCAGUGAGCUGAGAUCACGCCAUUGCACUCCAGCCUGGGUGACACAGCGAGACUCCAUCUCAAAAUAUGUAUCUGUGUGUCUAUAUAUAUGUAUACACACACACACACACACACACACACACAUAUGGUAUAUCCAUACAAUGCAAUAAUAUUCAACUACAAAAAGGAAUGAAGUAAUGGCACAUGCUACAACCUUUGAAAACAUGCUAAGUGGAAGAUGCCAGACACAAAGGCUACGAAUUUUAUGAUUCCAUUUAUAUGACACGUCCAGAAUAAGCAAAUCUAUAGAGACAGAAAGCAGACUAGUGGUUGCCAGGGUCUGGAGGAAGGGGAGAAUGACGAGUGGCUGCUGAUGGGUAUGGGGUUUUUUGGGGGCGAUAAUGAGAAUGUUUUAGAAUUAGAUAAUGGCAAUGGAUGUACAACCUUGUGAAUAUAUUAAAAACUACCAAAUUGUACACUUUAAAAUGGUGAAUUUUAUGGUAUGUGAAUUAUAUCUCAAUUUUUUAAAAAGGUCCCAUGAUCUUCUUUUGUGGGUAUAAUGUCGUCUCUCAACUCUCUGAGGAUAUAAAUUGAGGUGGUGAUGGUGGUUUUUAUUUUUUCUUUUGCUCCCUGCAUAGUAUUUCCUUUCUUCAAGUUUUUAUUUAUUGUUUAUUUUGGCUUAUGCUUUUUUAAUAUUAGACACCUCCCUUAAAAUUCUAGUAAGCCUUAGCCAAUGGUUCUUUUUUUUUUUGAGACUGAGUCUCACUCUGUCGCCCAGGCUGGAGUGCAAUGGCGCAAUCUCAGCUCACUGUAACCUCUGCCUCCCAGUUUCAAGCCAUUCUCCUGUGUCAGCCUCCUGAGUAGCUGGGACUACAGGCACGUGCCACCAUGCCCGGCUAAUUUUUAUAUUUUUAGUGGAGACGGGGUUUCACCAUAUUGGCCAGGCUGUUCUCAAACUCCUGACCUCAAGUGAUUUGCCCACCUUGGCCUCCCAAAGUGUUGGGAUUACAGGCAUGAGCCACCGUGCCUGGCCGAUGGUUCGUAUUUACAGCCGAUUGGAACGGGCAGGGCUUAACUGAGAGGGAGGGGGUCUCCCAAAUGUCAUCACUUGUCCAACUACCAGUAUUUUUAGACCCAACUGGAAGAAAUGACCAAAAGGCUUCCCCAUUUGGCUUGGAAACUUUGAGCAAAUGCUCACUUUUCCAACAUACUGCCUCAUCUCUACCCAUACUUGUACCCAUAUCCCCAAGUCAGCACUUUUUGGGUUCAGUCUCUUUGGAGAGCAAAGUUUUCUUCAGGAUGCUCUAGGGUAAAGCAGGGACAGACAUGGAGUGACAUGGGGUGAGGAAGGGAUCUGAGGUAUCACUCUCCUGUUUCUGACCCUACUCCAUACCCUGUCUUCAGAUGCCAACCAUUUCUCAGCCUCUCUGUGGUUUUAUAGCAGGAAUCUGCCCAUUUCUCAUUGACUCCCCUCUUUGUGAGUCUCUAGGUUUUUCUUUCUCUAUCAAGCCAAGUCAGUUACCUUUUCAAAUUCCAAAAUUGUACUAACAUUUCUUAUUCGCUUUGAUCUCCUCCCCUGCCCUUGUGGGCCUGCAUCUUUUUUAUUCCUUUACUCGUAGUGUGGUUUGGGGAGGCAGCACAGAGCACCAGGGAUGUUAGUCCAUCAUGUUUAAACAGAAGUCCCUCCUUGCUAUUGUCAUUCAAAAGUGGCAGUCACUGGUAUUCUCCGUUUAUCAUAAGGUGGCUUCUGCCAUUAUGACCAACCUCGGUCUGACAUGAAAUAGUAUGUAAUGCUGACUUGCUAGUGCUGUGAGACCAGCAGGGGAACCUCCUAGCAAGCUGAGAGUUGGGUGACUUUGCCCUCAAUAGCCAUCCUCAUUACAUUUCUCAGUCAUACUUUACUGCAUUUUAUGGGGGAAAUUAUGUGGUAGUCUCUAAUCCAUGGAUUCAUGAAGGGCUAUGAUGUAUCCCUUGAGAAUGUCAAGGGCCUACUGUACCUCUGUCACUAUGGAAACUAGUUCCCUGGUAGCAAUUAGGCUUAGCAACAUCCACAGUGGUGCAAUGCACAUGGAUUCUGGCUCUGGUAAUGGACAGGGAGCAGUCCCUGGAGAGAGGGCCACACCUACCCUAAUGACGGACUCCGGGAUCUCCAUCCAGCCUGAGCACCCUGCAUGGAGCCUGGCCCGAAGUGCUCCAGCUCAGAGGAGGAAGAGGGAGAGGCAGGCACCUUCUGUCCAACAGGAAGAAGGAACCCAAGACUGAAGACCCACAGCUAAAGAUGACGAAACUAAGACUAAGAGAAGUUCACCAACUUGUCCAAGGCCACAAUUCACAGUGGACUCUGAACUCGGCUCCAUAUGACUCGAGUCCCACGAUCUUUUCAUGUUCCCUGCUACCUCUCCCUCUCAGCCUGCUACAGUGAUGGGACAUUUAUGAACAUGCAAAAUGCUUUCUCACACAUUAUCUUAUCUGAUUUUCACAAGCAUGUGUGAGGCAGGUAUAAGUUCUGUUCUAUGGAUGAACAAUUGGUCUUCAGGUAAAGAACAACUUGUCCAAGGUCAAAUAGCUGAUACGUAUCUGGGAACUGGGACCUAAAUACACAUUUGAUGAGUAACUUUGCCACGGUAUCUUAUCUGGACACUUGAAAACAUACUCCAGUCCUGUCAUAAACCCAGGAGAAUUUGAAGAUGUCCCUCCCUACUUACAGCCUGGUUUCAUGAUCACUAGAAACUGGUUUAACUAAACUCUUUUC